AGAGUCUUCCAGGGGCUGGUCUACUACUGGAUACACUCUAUCAAGGUCGCGCGUGUGUGUUUGCAGAUCUUUUUAUUCAAACCUGAAAAGGUUCUCCAAAUAGAAGGGGGCACUAGCCAAACUCCUUUUCAUUUGGAGAAAACUUGCAAUGGAGCCGAUUAAAUCCUCCCACUCGUUUUCAAUUAAGGGGUUCCUAGAAUUGCAUUUUACGUGUGGCCCAACUUCUUUGUUCUUUGAAAAUGCCCGGAGAAGCCCUUGAUUGCAGCCAAAUGGAGAGGAGGGUGGUGGAAACAUCAUUUUCCUGAAAAUCGCCCAGCCUACUGCAAAGUGUAGACUUCGUUAAUGCAAUUAAAAAACAAAACGCCGGGGCGUGUGGAGAUCUAAAUUCGGUGCAGCAGCUUUGGUACAAAUCCUGUUUGGGGGACUGAGGUCAAAUUCAAGCUGAGGAGAAGUGGGAGAAAUGGGUGAGGGCCGACGGAUGGCUUGAAUCUGCUAGGAGAGAGAGGGCAGAAUUUGGAAACGCCAAGGAGAUGUGAGCUGGACGCUGAGAAAGAAAGGCCGAGACCUGCAGCUCCGGUAGGCAGAUUCCAGCCGCAGCUCCUGCGCACGCACCCCUGAAAAAGCCACGGGCGGAGCCGCCUCUGCGCCCUGGGCAGGUCUGAGUCGCAUCGCCCGCCCCGAGAGGGCGCGGGAGGUCCCGCCGAGGGCCUCCACCUGCCGGGAAAUCCGAGCGGUUCCUCCAGCCUCAGCGGCAGCUGAGCUCGCUCCUCCCCUCCAGCCAGCCUGGCUUAGUUCUGCGCGCCCCCCAACUCGCUCCCGCCCGCCCCAGUCACCUCGCUCCGCGCCCCCGCCCCCUCUCGAGCUCGCGCCCG
ensembl:lncRNA